AUAUGAUUUAUUUUAUAUGACCGCCAGUGCAGGCGCCAGAGAAGAGGCAGGUAGGCAAGAGUAAAAAGAGACUUUAUUAGCUAGCCAAUGUGAAGGGGGAAAAAGCGAGGUUCACUGGUCUCCGGCGGAGGAGGCCGUGGACGUCGCUCCGGCGUUCUCGGGGGAAGUUCCUAAGUCCGCAUAUGAGGAGGAGCCGAAGAAGUUCGCGCCGGGCGUCUGCCCGGAGCGGCUUUUUACGUCUAGGGCCUGGGGGUGGGAGGGCAGUAGGCGGGCCACGGGCAGGUUGGGGCCGUGCCGAAGGCGCGGCCAAGUAGGUUUCGGUUUCUUCGCGCGGACCUCACGUUGCGCCUGCGCAGUUGGUCUGUGGUUUCCCCGGGCGCGGGUAAGUUGGUGAUGAAGAACCCGGAAAUACGCCAUCUUAGUCGUCUUUGUUCUCUCUCCCGUCCAGAGAGUAUAGUUUUCCUUUUAAUUAUAUUUUAUCACUUUUGGUAUCAGAAUAAUGCUAGCCUACAUAAGUAAGAAGAGCAAAACUCAGACACAGAUACACAGGAGCGUAGCAUGUGAAGACAGAGGCAGAGACUGGAGUGAUGCAUGUAUAAGUUAAGAAACCCUAGGGCUACCAGAAGAUGAAAGAAACAAGGAAGGAUACUCCCUUGAAGGCCUCAGAGGGAGCAUGGCUCUGCUGACUCCUUGGUUUCAGGCAUCUGGUCUCCACAACUGUGACCUUUUGGCCCACCACACACCCCCUAUCCUGUACCAUAUAAACCCAAAGCCCCAGGCUCCACAGCAGAAGAGCACAGGAACAGAAGAACAGUGCAGCAGAAAAGGAGAGAAGAGAAAGGGUGUCUGAACAUUGAGAGGUGUUCAGCUGGUGAUGGUCAGAGAGGAGAUCGCCAUGGGACGGUCAAACUUCAGGGGAAGAUCAUAUUCCCACUCCUUACCAUUUCCAGCUCCCCAUUCAUCCUGCUGACAGCCACCUCCAUCUGGCAAUAAAAUCCCCUGCAUUUACCAUCCUUCAAUUUGUCUGUGUGACCUGAUUCUUUCUGGAUGCCCAACAACAGCCCAGAUACCAAGAGGGCACUGAGCUGGUUAAACUUAAGCCACCUGCAAAUGGCAGAGCCGAAAGAGCACUAUAAUAUGCCAAUGGGGGCUUCAGAAGUCACAGGAACCCACCCCUAGAUGCUACUGUGGGGCUGGAGCCCCAAAGCACUCACCCUGGCUCCUGCACCUGCCCAUCUGCAUGUUCCCCUCCCAUAUGGGGUUUGAGCACGUGGCAGCCAAGCAGAUGAGCCACAUCCUUGUGGCACAUGCUGCAAGGGAGUUCAGGGAACUCUCCUGUUUCAUAACCGUAGUUGAAAGUAACUUUCCAUUGUUUCCGGUUAACAAUAUCCUUGCAGUUUUCUAGCUUUUAUUCAUUUGUUUAUUGGUGAUACUGAAUAGUUAGAAAAAAAAUAGGGGGGCAUGGCAUUACGUAAUAUUUUUUAGAUGCAAAAAUAGUAAGUGUUAAUUGUUCUUACAACAAAAAUGUUAGCUGUAUGAAGUAAUUACUUAGACUUAACCACUCCAUAAUGUAUAUAUACUUCAAAACAUCAUGUACAUGAUAAAUACAUAUAAUCAUAUCAGUCAAUUAAAAAUAUUACUAAAAUACAUAAAUAAGAAAUGCUGCUCUGGUCAUGGACUAUGGGCUAAUGAGAAUAAAGAGACACUGAGAUCUGGGAAAUGAACUGUAUGGUUGUUGUUGCAAAGUUCUAACUGAAUGACGUGCGAACUAUAAUCUGUAGAAGAUAAGCUACAGGCUACUUGAAUUUUAGAGAACAGAAACAUAGUACUGAAGGAUGCAUGAAGUAUUUUUAAUGUUUUAAGAAAAUGAAAGAGAAAGAGAGAGGGAAAACCUUAACAUUUACUCACAAGACUGUUAACACUGCUCAAAAACUUUCAGGUUUAUUUGGUUUUGUCUUAAGUGAAAUGAACUUAGUUUUUAAACCUUGAAUAACUAAUUGGAAACAUAAAAUGCUUUACCACCCAUUAAUUUUUAAUGAGUAAAACAGUGUGUUAAGGGAAAACAACAGAAGGGAUUUUGACGGUAGCAGCUCAGGGUCAUUGCCUUAGGUCUGGUUCUUUCUACACCUUGCUUACUCAGAGAUGGCCUGCUCCCCACAGCCUGCUCAAUCAGCAAUCUCAAUUAUAGGGAGAAAGAGAACCAAGGUUAUUUCUUCUUGCUUCAGAACUGAGAAUAAUUUUAAUUUCAGAGAAAUAUGUAACUGCCACUCUGAUUUAUAGAAGAAUAUGUGCAUAUAAGAGUUAAAAGAAUUCCAAAAGUGAUGUAGUUUAUUUAUUGCCAAAAUAUGAAGCUAAUUUAUAUUCAUUUAUACUGAAAGUAGGGCACACUUGACAGCUAUUAAUCCAUACAGUAAUUAACAUUUGCUUUGCAAGCUGAAGAUAAUAUAAAAAGCUAAUGCUGCGAUAUAAAAUGUUUCAAUGGAUCAUAAUUAACACAAACUUUGGUUUCUGAUUAAUCAUUUUUUCUUAGAUUAUUUUAUAAAUUAUGCCUAAAUAAUGAAAAGGAAUAUAAAAUUUUGAUACUAAAUGAUGGAAGUCCAAAAAUGAAUUAUAAUUUUACUUUGCUAUUAUUUUC
ensembl:lncRNA